rnacentral:rRNA from 1 species
GACGAACGCUGGCGGCGUGCUUAACACAUGCAAGUCGAACGGAAAGGCCCUGCUUUUGUGGGGUGCUCGAGUGGCGAACGGGUGAGUAACACGUGAGUAACCUGCCCUUGACUUUGGGAUAACUUCAGGAAACUGGGGCUAAUACCGGAUAGGAGCUCCUGCUGCAUGGUGGGGGUUGGAAAGUUUCGGCGGUUGGGGAUGGACUCGCGGCUUAUCAGCUUGUUGGUGGGGUAGUGGCUUACCAAGGCUUUGACGGGUAGCCGGCCUGAGAGGGUGACCGACCACAUUGGGACUGAGAUACGGCCCAGUCUGCUACGGGAGGCAGCAGGGGGGAAUAUUACACAAUGGGCGGAAGCCUGAGGCAGCAACGCCGCGUGCGGGAUGACGGCUUUCGGGGUGUAAACCGCUUUCGCCUGUGACGAAGCGUGAGUGACGGUAAUGGGUAAAGAAGCACCGGCUAACUACGUG